rnacentral:rRNA from 1 species
CGCUGGCGGCGUGCCUAAUACAUGCAAGUCGAGCGAACGGACGAGAAGCUUGCUUCUCUGAUGUUAGCGGCGGACGGGUGAGUAACACGUGGAUAACCUACCUAUAAGACUGGGAUAACUUCGGGAAACCGUAGCUAAUACCGGAUAAUAUUUUGAACCGCAUGGUUCAAAAGUGAAAGACGGUCUUGCUGUCACUUAUAGAUGGAUCCGCGCUGCAUUAGCUAGUUGGUAAGGUAACGGCUUACCAAGGCAACGAUGCAUAGCCGACCUGAGAGGGUGAUCGGGCACACUGGAACUGAGACACGGUCCAGACUCCUACGGGAGGCAGCAGUAGGGAAUCUUCCGCAAUGGGCGGAAGCCUGACGGAGCAACGCCGCGUGAGUGAUGAAGGUCUUCGGAUCGUAAAACUCUGUUAUUAGGGAAGAACAUAUGUGUAAGUAACUGUGCACAUCUUGACGGUACCUAAUCAGAAAGCCACGGCUAACUACGUG